GACGAACGCUGGCGGCGUGCUUAACACAUGCAAGUCGAACGGAAAGGCCUCUUUCGGGGGGUACUCGAGUGGCGAACGGGUGAGUAACACGUGAGUAACCUGCCCUUGACUUUGGGAUAACUUCAGGAAACUGGGGCUAAUACCGGAUAGGAGCUCCUGCUGCAUGGUGGGGGUUGGAAAGUUUCGGCGGUUGGGGAUGGACUCGCGGCUUAUCAGCUUGUUGGUGGGGUAGUGGCUUACCAAGGCUUUGACGGGUAGCCGGCCUGAGAGGGUGACCGGCCACAUUGGGACUGAGAUACGGCCCAGACUCCUACGGGAGGCAGCAGUGGGGAAUAUUGCACAAUGGGUGGAAGCCUGAUGCAGCAACGCCGUGUGCGGGAUGACGGCCUUCUGGUUGUAAACCGCUUUCGCUCAUGACGAAGCUUUGUGUGACGGUAGUGGGUAAAGAAGCACCGGCUAACUACGUG
rnacentral:rRNA from 1 species